rnacentral:rRNA from 1 species
ACGAACGCUGGCGGCAUGCCUCACACAUGCAAGUCGAACGAUGGUCUUCGGAUCAUAGUGGCGCACGGGUGCGUAACGCGUGGGAAUCUGCCCUUGGGUUCGGAAUAACAGUUGGAAACGACUGCUAAUACCGGAUGAUGUCGAUAAGACCAAAGAUUUAUCGCCCGAGGAUGAGCCCGCGUCGGAUUAGCUAGUUGGUGGGGUAAAGGCCUACCAAGGCGACGAUCCGUAGCUGGUCUGAGAGGAUGAUCAGCCACACUGGGACUGAGACACGGCCCAGACUCCUACGGGAGGCAGCAGUGGGGAAUAUUGGACAAUGGGCGCAAGCCUGAUCCAGCAAUGCCGCGUGAGUGAUGAAGGCCUUAGGGUUGUAAAGCUCUUUUACCCGGGAAGAUAAUGACUGUACCGGGAGAAUAAGCCCCGGCUAACUCCGUG